GCGCGCGGCCGGGGGUGGGCCCUCCUCGCCUUGCGCGCCGAGUGCCUUCUUGCUCCGGAGGGCUCCCCAGACGGUUUGUCCGGUUCCCGCGCCCACCUUGCAGGUCCUCGGCUUCCCGUCACUUCGAGUCCCUUUCCGCUCCUCCUGCUUGAGUGGCGCCGGCGUCUCCCGGCCCGGCCCGAAUCCAGAGGGACCAAAAUGGAAAUGUUACCGAACCGAACUUGGGUCUGCUCGCCUGCUGCACAGAAAAGACAAUCUACUGACACCGGGUUGUGGUGAAGGAAAGUACAGCGUUUAUUUGCAGGGUGCCAAGCAAGGAGAACAAACAGGCAGCACGUGUUCAAAAGACCCGAACUCCCCCAUGGCUUUCAGGGAUGGGUUUAUUUCUUUAUUUCUUUCUUUUUUUUUUUUCUUUAAGGGCAACUUUUGGGGUGAGGGUUGCAGCUCAUGGGCUUUCUUUCUUUUGGUUGGUGGUACCUAACAAGAUGAUGUUUUGGAAAUCUUAAUCAUCAACCUUCAGGUUCCACCCAGUCUGGGGUCCACCUGUGUGUGGUCAGCAUGUAGUCACCAUCCUCCACCUGAGUGGAGGGGUGUAGUUUCUACAGAAAAGCUCAAAGAUAUGCAUCAGAUUGUUAUACAUAUUACUUGAGGAGGAAGUAGGGCUCUGUUUUAUCGCUGAACUGUUGUUUAAGCUAUUAUAACUUUCUUGCUCACCUGCAUUCCCUCACUUCCCUAAUUGGUAACUGUUUGAGUCUACUUUUUGGAACUCAGGAAAGGCCUAGGAGACUAAAACUUUUCUCCUACAAACAAGACAUGGGGGAUAUGGAGGGGCUUUUGUACCUGGGAGUGCCCCAUAUGGUCCUGCUUGGUCUCAAUCUCCUCUUUUCUUUGAUACUCCUCAAUCCUAAAGGGAGCAGGGGUGGGACAACAAAGGGAACACGUUUUGGAUAGAGAUUAAUCAUAAACUUGUUUGAGGAACUCGGUUUUAGGCAGACUUGGUUUUGGAAACUCCUUGCAGGUAAAUCAUGAUGUGGUUUAUGAAAAUAUGAUAAAAAAUAAGACUUGGAACUCUAGCUGUCGUAUUCACAAAAAGACCUCAAUGAAACUAAAAAAACCUAUCUUGACCGUAAACAUGUAUUUAUUUGUAUGUUUUAAGUUAGAUAAAAUAUUGAGGUUAAGUGUGUUCUGUAUUUUAAAAUUGUUUUAUUGAUUAAUAUUUAAAAAGUUAACUCACCAACUCCUGGGUCUUAUCUUGUCAGAUAAGAAGAUUUUUAUCUCACACUGAUAAAAUGAAAUUUUUGGAAUUCUGUAUAAUAUCAUAAACAGGUGCUUGUCAUAUAUGGUUAAAUGAGAGAGGAGGCCAUUCCAUUUUUGUAAAAACAUGUUUAGAACAGAGAAGAAUAUAAAAUGAAUGGUGGGUAGUGGGAUUGGUCUGAUUUUUAUGCUCUCAAUUUUAUUAUUUUUAUAAUUUUACUACAAUUUUGUUUUACUUUCUUAAUACAAGUUAAUAAAAGUCACUCCUU
ensembl:lncRNA